GCCGGGGUCGCCUAGACUGGCCUAGGGCGCCGGACUCAUAGUCCGGUUUCCGCGGGUUCGAGAGGGCUUCAAGCCCCGGAGAUCCCGCCCCCGGCACCA
rnacentral:tRNA from 1 species